AGCCAAUCAUUUUUUUGUGUGUUUGUAGAUUUGACAAGAGCUUUCGACGAGGGAAAGGAGUAAAAAUUCCUGCCGCUACAGACUAAAAAAUUAUUGGGAAUGGUUUUUGAAAAAAAUUGAAUUUUCCCGGAUGCUGUGGAGCAAUCGACGGCAAAAAUGUCAUCAUUAAAGCACCACCUGAAUUAGGAAGCUUGUACUACAACUAUAAAGAAACGAACAGCAUCGUCUUAAUGGCAGUUGUAGAUCACAAAUAUUGCUUUAGUUACAUAGAUAUAGGAUGUAAUGGUCGGGUUUCUGACGGAGGCGUAAUUCAUAAUUGUAGUUUGUAUCAAGCAUUAGAAAGUGGUAUACUACCAGAGGGUCAUGUCCUAGUAAUCGAUUAACGUUAAAGCAAAAAAAUUUCAAUUAUCGAUUGUCUCGGGCGAGAAGAAUAGUGAGAAACGCUUUCGGUAUUCUAGCUGUCAGAUUCCGAGUGUUUGAGAAACCGAUGGCUUACAGUCCUGAAAAAGUUGUUACCAUUGUAAAGGCAUGUUGCGCAUUACAUAAUUGGCUCAGAUAAGCAAAACUACAGAACCAGCAAUUAGAAUAUACAGUAGACAUAGAAAAUCAUGAUGCAGGAAUUGUCAUGCCUGUGACAAGGAUUACAAUCGCUACCAAAUAGUUUAAGAAACCGUUCAUCUCAAAGGUCUGUGGAUCUUCGAGAGAGUUAUGCAAAUUACUUUGUGGAAGAUGGAUCGGUUCCUUGGCAGACAAAAAUGAUACAUUAAAAACUGACGAAUAGAUAGAUAAAAAGGUAAACGACAAACAGACGAGUUUCAUAUCUAACUAAAUUCAUUUAUAACAUUUUCAUAAUUUUCUGGCU